rnacentral:rRNA from 1 species
GCUGGCGGCGUGCUUAACACAUGCAAGUCGAACGAUGAAGCUGGAGCUUGCUCCGGUGGAUUAGUGGCGAACGGGUGAGUAACACGUGAGCAAUCUGCCCUUGACUCUGGGAUAACUGCGGGAAACUGUAGCUAAUACCGGAUACGACACCUUGGGGCAUCCCAGGGUGUGGAAAGAAUUUCGGUCAAGGAUGAGCUCGCGGCCUAUCAGCUAGUUGGUGAGGUAAUGGCUCACCAAGGCGACGACGGGUAGCCGGCCUGAGAGGGUGACCGGCCACACUGGAACUGAGACACGGUCCAGACUCCUACGGGAGGCAGCAGUGGGGAAUAUUGCACAAUGGACGAAAGUCUGAUGCAGCAACGCCGCGUGAGGGAUGAAGGCCUUCGGGUUGUAAACCUCUUUUAGCAGGGAAGAAGCGAAAGUGACGGUACCUGCAGAAAAAGCACCGGCUAACUACGUGCCAGCAGCCGCGGUAAUACGUAGGGUGCAAGCGUUGUCCGGAAUUAUUGGGCGUAAAGAGCUCGUAGGCGGUUUGUCGCGUCUGCUGUGAAAAUCCGAGGCUCAACCUCGGACCUGCAGUGGGUACGGGCAAGCUAGAGUGCGGUAGGGGAGAUGGGAAUUCCUGGUGUAGCGGUGGAAUGCGCAGAUAUCAGGAGGAACACCAAUGGCGAAGGCACAUCUCUGGGCCGUAACUGACGCUGAGGAGCGAAAGCGUGGGGAGCGAACAGGAUUAGAUACCCUGGUAGUCCACGCCGUAAACGGUGGGUGCUAGUUGUGGGCCACAUUCCACGUGGUCCGUGACGAAGUUAACACAUUAAGCACCCCGCCUGGGGAGUACGGUCGCAAGACUAAAACUCAAAGGAAUUGACGGGGGCCCGCACAAGCGGCGGAGCAUGCGGAUUAAUUCGA